AUGAUGCUUCAACUGAGAUAUUGUAGUUUGGCACCUUUAAUAUACAUUGCUCAUAGAGAAAUCAUGUAAAACAAGUUUUUCAAACUAAUAUUGUGUAUGUAUUAAUAGAAGACCAACAAAUAUCCAACCUUUUUUUUUGAUGUUUUAGAGUAUUCAGUUUGUGAUAUUUUGCCUCCAACCUCAGGGUGGAGCUCCAUAUAUAUGAACAUUAUUAGACAUUAACCACUAAUGAGGUGUGUAGUUUUUCAGUUCCAGUAUAGUUCAGUAGAUCUAUAAUUUGACAUAAUUGACAAGCCUAAUUACAUUUCUGAAUUUUGAAUUCAGAAUUUUAUGAGUUUGGGAUAUUCUGGCAAAGGAGAUGUUUCUAAUUAUUUAUUAUUUGUUGAAUUGGUCCUUUCAUAGGACUUAUUGAUCUAUAAUAAUUCAAUGAAAAAACUAAACUUAAAAAUUAUAGUUAUGGAAACAAUUUGCUGCCACAAGAUUAUUCUACUCUUGAAAUAUUUAUCCCUUUAUUUUCAUGUUUGAAUGUAUGCAUAUUGAAUAUAUGAAUAUUCUAAAUGCGACACAAGACACCAGCUUUUCAAAUCAAUGAAUGAAUAAUUCGGUGGAAUAGGGAUACCUGUUCAUCGGGUUUUCUCUAUGGUAGAUAUUUACAGGAUGAAAAUUUCACACUUAAACAUGAUCAACCAUUUCUUCUAUCAAUGGCCAACAGGGGUAAGGAUACUAAUGGAUCCCAGUUCUUCAUGUGAGUAAAUUAAUUUUAUGUAUUUAGUGCAAAUGUGUUUGUUUCCAUUGUGAUUUUGGAUGUGUUUAAUUUCUAUCAUGACACUUGUUUUGAAAGACAGCUAUAUAAAUAGUGUGUUUUUCUAAAUAUUCAAA